rnacentral:rRNA from 1 species
AUUGAACGCUGGCGGCAGGCCUAACACAUGCAAGUCGAACGAGUGGCGGACGGGUGAGUAACACGUGGGUCACUACCCAUCAGAGGGGGAUAACACCUGGAAACGGUAGCUAAUACCGCAUACUCUCGGAUAACCCAUAUGGGAUUAGCGUGUAGGUGAGGUAAUGGCUCACCUAGGCGACGAUCCCUAGCUGGUCUGAGAGGAUGAUCAGCCACACGGGGACUGAGACACGGCCCAGACUCCUACGGAGGCAGCAGUGGGGAAUAUUGCACAAUGGGCGAAAGCCGGAUGCAGCCAUGCCGCGUGUAUGAAGAAGGCCCUAGGGUUGUAAAGUACUUUCAGUCGGGAGGCGUUACCGACAGAAGAAGCACCGGCUAACUCCGUGCCAGCAGCCGCGGUAAUUC